CGAACGCUGGCGGCGUGCUUAACACAUGCAAGUCGCACGGUGAACUCCGCUUGCGGGGGGAUCAGUGGCGAACGGGUGAGUAACACGUGGGCAACCUGCCCUCAGCUCUGGGAUAACUCCAAGAAAUUGGGGCUAAUACCGGAUAUGACCGCUGACCGCAUGGUCUGGUGGUGGAAAGAUUUAUCGGCUGGGGAUGGGCCCGCGGCCUAUCAGCUUGUUGGUGGGGUAGUGGCCUACCAAGGCGACGACGGGUAGCCGGCCUGAGAGGGUGACCGGCCACACUGGGACUGAGACACGGCCCAGACUCCUACGGGAGGCAGCAGUGGGGAAUAUUGCGCAAUGGGCGAAAGCCUGACGCAGCGACGCCGCGUGGGGGAUGACGGCCUUCGGGUUGUAAACCUCUUUCAGCAGGGACGAAGCGAAAGUGACGGUACCUGCAGAAGAAGCACCGGCCAACUACGUG
rnacentral:rRNA from 1 species